ensembl:lncRNA
GCCGGCAAUACCACGACUGAGGUGCCCUUGAGCAAGGCACUGAACCCCCAACUGUUCCCCGGGCGCCGCAGCAUAAAUGGCUGCCCACUGCUCCGGGUGUGUGUUCACGGUCAAUUGACUCACUUCUCCACCGAGAAUUCUCCACCCUCAGCAGGUUUUUCAUCAGCAGGUUUGUCAAAGCGUCGUUCACGUGGUGGUCUCCUCUCAGGCCGCCUGUCUGCUGAGGAACGGGAGCUUGUGUCUCUUCCUUCUCUGAUACUUGGAUUUUUCUUUCUUUCUGUGAUUCCUUUUUGGGCUGCUUUGUAACCUGCGCGGCGGUCUUGGCGGCACCAGGAGCGGUCGCGUCCAUCUUCUUCUUUUCUGCCUGCUUCAAAACAUCAAACGGAUCGUCUUCAUCAUCAAAUAGCUGGUCGAACCGAUUGGUUACGACACAGCCGAAACCUUCUUGCAGAUGUCCGGGCAUGAUGGCCCCCUUUCAGCAGGAUUCUCCUCCGAUUCUACGGGGCCUGAGCGAGCACUUCGCUGCUAGAUGCCACAAGAUGGCUGGAAAAGACUCGAGCUUCUCUUCCGGCGUAAAAGACAUCCGGGACUCUGACCGCAAAGUCGUGUGGGACAUGUAGUCACACAACAUACUCCAGAAAGAGAGAGAGAGUGAAUUAUUAGAUGCAAAGCUUGAAUUCUCUGGACGUUUUUUAUUUAUAGAUCUUCAGAAAUGUCUGAAUAGGGUAGGCUUAAGUAGGGUAGAUUGAUGAUGUUAUUGUUAUAGGAUUUGUCGACCAGGUGAACAAUGUAAUUAUAUGAUCACAUAAAAAUUAUCUUGUAAACUUUUUUUUAUUACUUUCAUCUUUUAUUUACUACUUUCAAAUUAUUUUUAUGUAGCCUGUGCAGUUUUAUUGUUUCACCCUUUUCCCCAGACCCAG